rnacentral:rRNA from 1 species
AUUGAACGCUGGCGGCAUGCCUUACACAUGCAAGUCGAACGGCAGCGCGGGGCAACCUGGCGGCGAGUGGCGAACGGGUGAGUAAUAUAUCGGAACAUACCCUAGAGUGGGGGAUAACGUAGCGAAAGUUACGCUAAUACCGCAUACGCACUAAGGUGGAAAGUGGGGGAUCUUCGGACCUCAUGCUCAUGGAGUGGCCGAUAUCUGAUUAGCUAGUUGGUGAGGUAAAGGCUCACCAAGGCAACGAUCAGUAGCUGGUUUGAGAGAACGACCAGCCACACUGGAACUGAGACACGGUCCAGACUCCUACGGGAGGCAGCAGUGGGGGAAUUUUGGGACAAUGGGGGGCAACCCUGAUCCAGCAAUG